rnacentral:piRNA from 1 species
GGCAAUGAAUGCAUCAUACGGAGUCGC